AUUGUUCUGCACGUGUUUUCCUAGAUGAAAUGAGAGCAGUGGGUCUUACAAACAGUGCCAGCUGCUAAAGAAGUUAGAUGCAAAGUCUGGGGGAAAUAAAUAAAUAAAUAAAUAAAUACAAAUUAAGGAUUUCUGCCCUCAUUCCUUACAAAGCAGUUUUUGAACGUGGGAAAUAACAUCAUUCCCUGACCCCAAGAGUUGGAAUGGCCCAUCCCACUGAGUGGCACUGGUGUGAUGAGGUUGGUACAGCACUGUGGGGUCUGAGUGUCAUCUCAGUACAGAUGGGGAUGGGCUCAUGGUGCAUCUCCACUUAUUUCAGAGCUGGAAAGAAGAUUGGUUACUACACAAGACCUUCCAUAGGGCAUAAGGCAGUGCUGAAUGGCAGAGCUCAGCUCCAGCUGCUCAUUGUCAGAAAAGCCAUCAGCCCAAGAGCUGGGUGAAAACGGCCCUCAUCUGUUAAAAUGAGUUUGGCAGCGCGUUCCUUCCCCUGUUAACCUUAUCAGUGAGCAGAACAGGUGAGGAAUGCAGAGAGCCCUCAUGCAAUGCAAAGUGAGGAGCAUUGCACAGUCCUCAGCAACAUAGUUUUCAGCAGCUAAAACCACUGGUGUGAGAGAAAACUGGGACAUAGGAAAUGCUUUGCAGAGAGCCCACCUGCCCUGAAUGAGCCAUCUCCUCAUGAGAUCUGCCUCAUGUGAACCAGCUUCUAAGAGUUGGUUUGGAGGAGAAUCAUGAAAACACAGUGCUACCUUCUCUUCAGCUGCCAUCAGUACCAGCAAUCAUCACCUUCAGAACAGCGUGUCUGGGUGUGCAAUGCCACGUGUAGGAUUUCUGCCUUUUGGUUGUGCAGCGUGAUUGAGUUUUCACACCCCUGUGCACUGCAGAUAAGAGCAAGCCGUGCUUGGGGCUCCAUCUCAGGAAGAGACUGCUCAUAUUUCCAUUGUCACAGGCAUUAAUCUGAAAUCUAAAUUGCUUCCUAUUUGGGAAAGCCUCUCAGCUUUUUCCAUGCAGAUUAUUCCUCCGGUAGCUCGAUAGGAACACCUUGCUGUUUUGCACUUAAAAAUAAUUCCCCCCAAUAGGAAACAAAGAGCAAAUGGGUAAAACGAGGCUUGCAAUAAUCUGCAAUUUACUCAGCACUUUAAGGUUUGCAUUGUGCAGAACCUUUGUACAGUCAUCCAGGUAAGCAAAGAAACCUUUCUAACUUGGUUGGUUUGCUGGGAUGGAUCACGAUGGAACCUUUU
rnacentral:lncRNA from 1 species